UACGUAGGGGGCAAGCGUUGUCCGGAAUCAUUGGGCGUAAAGCGCGUGUAGGCGGUUCGGUAAGUCGGCUGUGAAAGUCCAGGGCUCAACCCUGGGAUGCCGGUCGAUACUGCCGGACUAGAGUUCGGAAGAGGCGAGUGGAAUUCCCGGUGUAGCGGUGAAAGUGCGCAGAUAUCGGGAGGAACACCAAUGGCGAAGGCAGCUCGCUGGGACGUUACUGACGCUGAGACGCGAAAGCGUGGGGAGCAAACAGGG
rnacentral:rRNA from 1 species